rnacentral:lncRNA from 1 species
CUAUUGUUUGCUCAAAUUCCAAAACUGACCAAGAGGUAACAACAGCUUUGACAUUCUUGGCCCUUUAAAGGAGGAAUCACACUAGAAUUACUGACAACUACACACACAGCUUCCCAAGAGCUAGGUCUUUCUUUUAAGCCUUGAGGUAGCAGCAACCCAAGAAGAAAAGCACAAGGAGAAUUGGGAUAGAUGAAAGAAGAGGUCACUGCUGAACUCCAGACUUCCUUAGCUCCCUAAUUUCCCUCGAAGUUCUGCAAUUGCACCUUUCCCCAGGCACAGAAUCAUAGAAUGGCUUGAGUUGGAAGAGACCUUCAAGAUUAUCCAGUUCCAGCCCUCCCCUGGCUGUAUGUCUGACCAUGUCCAAGCUUUCCUCAGGAACAUUAAGUGCCAAUUUAACUGUUCCUUGGGGAGAGAUUUUUGUUCCUAAUGGGCUUCUCAGACUGGCCUCUGUGGAAUUAGGAGCCAGUGUAGUAAUGUGAUUGGGCAGUUUGCUUUAUUUUCUAUAAAGAGAUUUUUCCCUCCAGCUACUCUCUUGAGACUCAAAACUAUAUAUAGUACUUAUACAGAGGACUCAAGGUGAAAUUGGUGUAUUUUACUAACACAACAGAGAUAGUGGAAAUGGAAAUGCUCUUUCAGGAUCUGGCUUUAUCUCUGGAUGACGCUCAAUGAGUCAGGCUGAGUGCUGCAGAAUGCUGCAUUUCUACCUUAGCACAACCCAGGAGUGCCUAUUCUUCAGUCAAGCUGCACCUGGUGGCAUCUAAAUCCAUCACCUGAUUCAGAGAAGCACCUGAGCUCUUUCACAUGUAUACUUCCAUCAGUGUUGCUUCCCCCAAGUUCCCCUCAACAUUUGCAGUGUUCCACCACCUGAAGGUUUGCUAAUAAUCCACUGUGAUAAUAUCGAGCAGUUCCUUCUGCAGUAAGUACAGAAUUAUGCCAGAUCUCUUCCCAGCUAUGUUUAAUGAUAGUUAAGCCUACAUUUCAAUACUCAGAGCACAUUGUAAUAGCAAGUAUGACAAGACCAAGGACAAAAAUUGGUUUAAUCACAUGGAACAUUUUACAUGGAGAAACGGUCCAAUGCUGCUUUGACAAAGCUAAGACAGCAUUAAAUCAGAGAUGUUAUCUUCAUGUAGAGCUAAUGAAAUCUAUUAAAAUCCUGCUUUACAUAAAAUAACAUUUUCCUAUGGCAUGAUAUCUGCUGUUGGAUGAGUUCCACUGUAUUCUUCCAUCAGAAAAACCUAUCCCUGGAUUGAUCGAGAACAUUUCCAAUUUGAGCCACAUUACUUAGCAGACAUUGAUUUCAAUAGUCACAUGAUGUUACUUCUAUUACCCAGAUGAAUGCAUAUUCUACUUGAGCAACAGAGCUUUCCUGUACAAAAUGUAAUAUUUGGUUUCCUAGGACACCUUUAAAUAAACUGCUA